AGAGUUUGAUCCUGGCUCAGGAUGAACGCUGGCGGCGUGCCUAAUACAUGCAAGUCGAGCGAACCACUUCGGUGGUGAGCGGCGAACGGGUGAGUAACACGUAGGUGAUCUGCCCAUCAGACGGGGACAACGAUUGGAAACGAUCGCUAAUACCGGAUAGGACGAAAGUUUAAAGGUGCUUCUGGCACCGCUGAUGGAUGAGCCUGCGGCGCAUUAGCUAGUUGGUAGGGUAACGGCCUACCAAGGCGACGAUGCGUAGCCGACCUGAGAGGGUGAACGGCCACACUGGGACUGAGACACGGCCCAGACUCCUACGGGAGGCAGCAGUAGGGAAUCUUCGGCAAUGGGCGAAAGCCUGACCGAGCAACGCCGCGUGAAUGAUGAAGGCCUUCGGGUUGUAAAAUUCUGUUAUAAGGGAAGAACGACUUUAGUAGGAAAUGGCUAGAGUGUGACGGUACCUUAUGAGAAAGCCACGGCUAACUACGUGCCAGCAGCCGCGGUAAUACGUAGGUGGCGAGCGUUAUCCGGAAUUAUUGGGCGUAAAGAGCGCGCAGGUGGUUGAUUAAGUCUGAUGUGAAAGCCCACGGCUUAACCGUGGAGGGUCAUUGGAAACUGGUCGACUUGAGUGCAGAAGAGGGAAGUGGAAUUCCAUGUGUAGCGGUGAAAUGCGUAGAUAUAUGGAGGAACACCAGUGGCGAAGGCGGCUUCCUGGACUGUAACUGACACUGAGGCGCGAAAGCGUGGGGAGCAAACAGGAUUAGAUACCCUGGUAGUCCACGCCGUAAACGAUGAGUGCUAAGUGUUGGGGGUCGAACCUCAGUGCUGAAGUUAACGCAUUAAGCACU
rnacentral:rRNA from 1 species